rnacentral:rRNA from 1 species
UACGUAGGGUGCAAGCGUUGUCCGGAAUUAUUGGGCGUAAAGAGCUCGUAGGCGGUCUGUCGCGUCUGCUGUGAAAACUCGGGGCUUAACCCCGGGCCUGCAGUGGGUACGGGCAGAUUAGAGUGCGGUAGGGGAGACUGGAAUUCCUGGUGUAGCGGUGAAAUGCGCAGAUAUCAGGAGGAACACCGGUGGCGAAGGCGGGUCUCUGGGCCGUAACUGACGCUGAGGAGCGAAAGCAUGGGGAGCGAACAGG